UUUUAUGAGAAAUCCCCCUGCAAGAGGACCUCUCACAGUAAACAAAGACAAUAACCAAUCAACAUACAGAUUUACAGUAACCCCUGCCCUCUCUCUGCCUGGGAGAUAUUGAGAUAAGUUAAGGAAUAACCCAAUUAUCUCUAGGCAGAGGGCACACAAUUUUCCCAAAAAUUAGAACACCCCUUUCCACACAAGGUAUCCCCACAAAUUACAUAUCACCUGAUAUCCCCGAUCUGGGAGACCAACAUAUUCAAAUUUCACCCAGAUCGGGUCAGCGGUUCUCAAAAAGUAUGGAAGUCAUAAGUUACCGACCACACACAAGGCUUCUGCCCAAAACAGUUCCACGAAUUCAGCGGGUGCGGUCGGUCAAUUCAGUAAAUGACAUAAAACGAAUAAAAGUCACGAAUGGAUCCUCCUGGCUCAUAGGAGUGAUUGCUCCCCUUGUUCAUAUGAACCAAAC